rnacentral:misc_RNA from 1 species
GGGUUGUUGCUGGCUCUCUAGGGAGCNUGUGCACACCUUGUCAUCUUUAUAUCUCCACCUGUGCACUUUUUGUAGANCUUUCAAGUCUAUGNUGCUNCAUUUACCCCC